rnacentral:rRNA from 1 species
AAUAGAUACCCGGGUAGUCCACGCCGUAAACGAUGUCGACUUGGAGGUUGUUCCCUUGAGGAGUGGCUUCCGGAGCUAACGCGUUAAGUCGACCGCCUGGGGAGUACGGCCGCAAGGUUAAAACUCAAAUGAAUUGACGGGGGCCCGCACAAGCGGUGGAGCAUGUGGUUUAAUUCGAUGCAACGCGAAGAACCUUACCUACUCUUGACAUCCAGAGAACUUAGCAGAGAUGCUUUGGUGCCUUCGGGAACUCUGAGACAGGUGCUGCAUGGCUGUCGUCAGCUCGUGUUGUGAAUGUUGGGUUAAGUCCCGCAACGAGCGCAACCCUUAUCCUUUGUUGCCAGCGGUUCGGCCGGGAACUCAAAGGAGACUGCCAGUGAUAAACUGGAGGAAGGUGGGAAUGACGUCAAGUCAUCAUGGCCCUUACGAGUAGGGCUACACACGUGCUACAAUGGCAUAUACAAAGAGAAGCGACCUCGCGAGAGCAAGCGGACCUCAUAAAGUAUGUCGUAGUCCGGAUUGGAGU